AAGGCAUGAAAUUGCUCAGGUUCGGAAAACAGCAGUCCUAUGCACGCUGUG
rnacentral:SRP_RNA from 10 species